AACGAACGCUGGCGGCAGGCCUAACACAUGCAAGUCGAACGAGAAGCUACCUUCGGGUGGUGGACAGUGGCAGACGGGUGAGUAACGCGUGGGAACGUGCCUGUCGGUUCGGGAUAACCCAGGGAAACUUGGGCUAAUACCGGAUACGCCCUUCGGGGGAAAGAUUCAUUGCCGAAAGAUCGGCCCGCGUCGGAUUAGCUAGUUGGUGGGGUAAAAGCCUACCAAGGCGACGAUCCGUAGCUGGUCUGAGAGGAUGACCUGCCACACUGGGACUGAGACGCGGCCCAGACUCCUACGGGAGGCAGCAGUGGGGAAUAUUGGACAAUGGGCGCAAGCCUGAUCCAGCCAUGCCGCGUGGGUGAAGAGGGCCUUAGGGUUGUAAACCCCUUUCAGCGGGGAAGAUAAUGACGGUACCCGCAGAAGAAGUCCCGGCUAACUCCGUGCCAGCCGCCGCCGUAAUAC
rnacentral:rRNA from 1 species